rnacentral:rRNA from 1 species
AUGAUCAGGUCGGCAUGGACCUGGACGGCUUCCCGCUCGACCACGAGUUUCCAGAGGACUACGGUCUCGAGGAAGAGGAUGAGUUGGACAUCGAAGGGGAGCCUUUGUUCGAGGACGAGCUUGCCAACCAAGCCGCUGGGGGGAAGCCGAAGCGCAAGAGCAGGCGGACGAAGGCGUACACGGCGGUCGAGGACAAACUUCUUUGUGAGUGUUGAAGGGACAUUGGGCAAGACCCCAAGAUCAGCGCCGAACAAAAGGCAUCAACCUUUUGGAUUCGUGUCCAUCGUGAGUUCCAUGAGCGCAAGAAGUUUCCACCGUACCAAAUGCAAAGCACGCGCGGAUGGGUGUCCAUUUCAAAUCGUUGGGAGGUGA